GACUCGGUUGGAUGGUCUGCCUUUGUGUAAGCACUGCUCCGAUCGGGUCUUUCCUUCUGGGGAACCAGCGUGCUCUUAAUUGGGUGCGUUGGGGAUCCAGGACUUUUACUUUGAAAAAAUUAGAGUGUUUAAAGCAGGCCUACGCUUGAAUACAUUAGCAUGGAAUAAUAGAAUAGGACU
rnacentral:rRNA from 1 species